GACGAACGCUGGCGGCGUGCUUAACACAUGCAAGUCGAACGAUGAAGCCAGCUUGCUGGUGGAUUAGUGGCGUACGGGUGGGUAACACGUGGGUGAUCUGCCCCAAACUUUGGGAUAAGCCUGGGAAACUGGGUCUAAUACCGAAUAUGACAGAUACUCGCCUGGGUGAUGGUGGAAAGUAUCGGCGGUUUGGGAUGGGCCCGGGGCCUAUCCGCUUGUUUGUGGGGUAAUGGCCUUCCAAGGCGACGACGGGUAGCCGGCCUGAGAUGGCGACCUGCCACACUGGGACUGAGACACGGCCCAGACUACUACGGGAGGCAGAAGUGGGGAGUAUUACACAAUGGGCUCAAGCCUGAUGCAGCGACGCCGCGUGGGGUAUGACAUCCUGCGGGUAGUAAACCUCUUUCACCUGGGACGAAGCGAUAAUGACGGUACCUGGAGAAGAAGCACCGGCUAACUACGUG
rnacentral:rRNA from 1 species